rnacentral:rRNA from 1 species
AGAGUCAGCCAUGAGCAUGUCCGAUCUCGUCUGAUCUCGGAAGGGCCGGGCCUGGUUAGUACUUGGUUGGGAGACCGCCUGGGAACACCAGGUGCUGUAAGCC